rnacentral:rRNA from 1 species
UACGGGGGGGGCAAGCGUUGUUCGGAAUUACUGGGCGUAAAGGGCUCGUAGGCGGCCAACUAAGUCGGACGUGAAAUCCCCAGGCUCAACCUGGGAACUGCGUCCGAUACUGGAUGGCUUGAAUCCGGGAGAGGGAUGCAGAAUUCCAGGUGUAGCGGUGAAAUUCGUAGAUAUUAGGAAGAACACCAGUGGCGAAGGCGGCUCACUGGCUCGGUACUGACGCUGAGGCGCGAAAGCGUGGGGAGCAAACAGG